rnacentral:rRNA from 1 species
GACGUAGGGCGCGAGCGUUGUCCGGAUUUAUUGGGCGUAAAGAGCUCGUAGGCGGCUUGUCGCGUCGACUGUGAAAUCCCGCGGCUCAACUGCGGGUCUGCAGUCGAUACGGGCAGGCUAGAGUUCGGUAGGGGAGACUGGAAUUCCUGGUGUAGCGGUGAAAUGCGCAGAUAUCAGGAGGAAUACCGAUGGCGAAGGCAGGUCUCUGGGCUAUAACUGACGCUCAUGCACGAAAGCGUGGGGAGCAAACAGG